rnacentral:rRNA from 1 species
GACGAACGCUGGCGGCGUGCUUAACACAUGCAAGUCGAACGAAGUGGCGAACGGGUGAGUAACGCGUAAUCAACCUGCCCUUCAGAGGGGGAUAACAGUUGGAAACGACUGCUAAUACCGCAUACUGAAGAAGGGGAUUGUGUCUGAUAAGCAAGUGGGAGGGGUAACGGCCAACCAGGGCGAUGAUCAGUAGCCGGUCUGAGAGGAUGAACUGCCAAAUUGUGCAUGAGACAAGGCCCAGAAUCCUACGGGAGGCAGCAGUGGGGAAUUUUCCGCAAUGGACGAAAGUCUGACGGAGCAACGCCGCGUGAUUGAUGACGGCCUUCGGGUUGUAAAGCUCUGUUAAUCGGGACGCGGUACCGGAAUAGAAAGCCACGGCUAACUACGUGCCAGCCGCCGCGGUAAUAC